ACACACAGCCAUAUCACCCUGCAGCAUAAGACCGGCUACUCACUGAAGCCAAGCAGGGCUGAGCCUGGUCAGUACCUGGAUGGGAGACCACUAGGGAAUACUAGGUUGCUGUUGGAA
ensembl:rRNA 5S_rRNA 5S ribosomal RNA